rnacentral:lncRNA from 10 species
AAGAAGAGGUUGGUGUUACAUGGAGCAGCAGCACAGUCAAGCAGGGAACAGAUCACGUAAAGCCCUUUAGAGAGUGAAGUCGGCUUUUUAUGCUAGGUGCAACUGGGAGUUCUGAACACGGCAAAGUUGGACAUUCCAAAGAUGGCGUAGAUGAACAUGACCAGGAAGAGCAGGAGGCCGAUGUUAAACAACGCAGGAAGGGACAUCAUCAAAGCAAAGAGCAGCGUGCGGAUCCCCUUUGCUCCUUUGACUAGACGUAGGAUUCGGCCAAUCCUGGCAAGACGGAUCACUCGGAACAGGGUAGCAGAGAUCUCUGGAGGUGAAACAUUGCUCUGAACUGGCAUUGAUUCUAGCCCAGCUCUUGUAGACCAAUUACCAACUUCUCCAUCUCCCUCCAGUGCCUGGAACUGGACCUGGCACACAGGCCUCUGGCUCAUCGGAAUUCAUAGGUUCAGCCUCUGCUUCUUCUCCUUCUCCAGGCAAAGGGUUAUCAACUGUGCUGCACUCUGAGGAGCUUGACCGGUUUAAUCUCUAGAAAGGAAUUCACCACCCCACCAGCACGCGGAACACAAUCAGGAAGGAGUGGAAGAAGUCGUUCAUGUGCCACCGUGGGAGCGUACAGUCAUCAUUGAUCUUGCAGACACAUUCUUUGUAGCUCUUACCAAAGAGCUGCAUGCCGACCACAGCAAAAAUGAAGACGAUGAUGGCCAACACUAAGCCUUUAGACUAAAAAGAAAACAAAUAUUACAUACCCUGAAUCUGUGCUGAAACCACAAAGGAGAGCAUCUUUGGAUCCUUCCAAGUAAUAAAAAUAUUCUGUUGAAGAAGAAUUUGAACAGUUAUAACAUCACAGACUUUAAUCUGUGAUUGUGAUAAAGGAGGUCAAAUUAAAAAAUCUGAUUAUUGGGAGACUUUUGGAGUAAUCAUGGAAGAAAGACUAUGAAAUCAGAUAUUCUUGGAUUUGAAUGUUGCUUCUAUCCCUUCUUAACUUAAAUCCAUGGGCAUUCAUUAUCAUCAGUGCCUAACCUGGCAGAACCACAGUCUACACAUAAUCUGGCAUCUGUCUUUUCCAUGCUGGCUACCAAAUGGCUGAAUGUUGGUGGAGAAACUCUCACAACCAAGUGAAUGGUUAUAUUUUAA